GGCAGCGUGGCAGAGCGGUGAAUACUUUUUUUGCCUAUCAAUCUCGAGUUCGUUGGUUCGAUUCCAACCGAUGCCA
rnacentral:tRNA from 1 species